UUAUAGCCCUGAUUGCAGUGAAAAUCCUUUUUUCGUCAGUUCGAGUAGCUUGCAAAGCGUAUCGAGAACAAGAAAAAAGAUUGCAAUCUCGUCUUUUGGGACGAGAC
rnacentral:misc_RNA from 1 species